rnacentral:rRNA from 1 species
UACGUAGGGGGCGAGCGUUGUCCGGAAUUACUGGGCGUAAAGCGCACGUAGGUGGCCAGCUAAGAUGGGCGUGAAAUCUCCGGGCUCACCUCGGAGGGGUCGUCCGUGACUGACUGGCUAGGGUCUGGUAGAGGCGUGUGGAAUUCCCGGUGGAGCGGUGAAAUGCGUAGAGAUCGGGAGGAACACCAGUGGCGAAGGCGACACGCUGGGCCAGGACCGACGCUGAGGUGCGAAAGCGUGGGGAGCGAAC